rnacentral:rRNA from 1 species
UACGAAGGGGGCUAGCGUUGUUCGGAAUUACUGGGCGUAAAGCGCACGUAGGCGGGUGGUUAAGUCAGGGGUGAAAUCCCGGAGCUCAACUCCGGAACUGCCUUUGAUACUGGUCAUCUAGAGAUCGGAAGAGGUAAGUGGAAUUCCCAGUGUAGAGGUGAAAUUCGUAGAUAUUGGGAAGAACACCAGUGGCGAAGGCGGCUUACUGGUCCGAUACUGACGCUGAGGUGCGAAAGCGUGGGGAGCAAACAGG